rnacentral:rRNA from 1 species
GACGAACGCUGGCGGCGUGCUUAACACAUGCAAGUCGAGCGGAAAGGCCCUUUCGGGGGUACUCGAGCGGCGAACGGGUGAGUAACACGUGAGUAAUCUGCCCUGUGCUUUGGGAUAGCCACCGGAAACGGUGAUUAAUACCGGAUAUGACCAUGGAUCGCAUGAUCUUGUGGUGGAAAGUUUUUCGGCGCAGGAUGUGCUCGCGGCCUAUCAGCUUGUUGGUGGGGUAAUAGCCUACCAAGGCUUCGACGGGUAGCCGGCCUGAGAGGGUGACCGGCCACACUGGGACUGAGACACGGCCCAGACUCCUACGGGAGGCAGCAGUGGGGAAUAUUGGACAAUGGGCGGAAGCCUGAUCCAGCAACGCCGCGUGAGGGAUGACGGCCUUCGGGUUGUAAACCUCUUUCAGCACCGACGAAGCGACUCUUUUGGGGAGUGACGGUAGGUGCAGAAGAAGGACCGGCCAACUACGUGCCAGCCGCCGCAGUAAAAC